CCUGGUCGCAACCAGAAAACGAUUGGCCCUGGGAUUUAAUGGCUGUUCCUGGGGAGGGUGGCGAUUGGUCUGUGGGAGUGAGUGCCCUGGUUUAACAACUAGGCAGAGGACGCUGAUAUGGGUGGGGCCUCAGCAAGUCGCACUCAAAAGUGGUUGGAUCACAGAGCCAAGGGGUUGAUCAAACAAACCUCCAGAAGCAGCGGAAGGCGCUAGCGUGUGGCUGACUGCGGGGAGCAGUGAUUCAGGGAUUUCGCAAACUCCCCAGUCGCUGAACUCGCAGCAGCAGAAGUCUGGGAGGGUACCCACCCCUGAGAUCAGGUGUCCUGUUUACAGAUGAAGCUCUAGAAACCUGAAGGAAAGAGCUCCUCAUUCUCAGCUGUGUGCAACGCACUUUGGGUGUCCAUCUGAUGGAGAAGAACGGGGAGUCGUGGGGCUAGGCCGAUCCUGCCCCUGUAGAAGCCUGAUUUGGACACAGGGCCUCUGAGCUCCCCUGAUCCUCCAUUUCUUCCCUUGCUGCCAGCACCUUCGGCUUGUUGGUCUCCUUUGUCUAUUCCCUGAGCUUGGCCACACUGGACAGCCCCACCCCUGAAGGCUGCUUGCCUGUCUGACCCAGGAAGCUGUCUAGAACAUCGUGGAAGAAGUGGCUUGAUAGCCAAGUGAGAUCUGGAAUGCUGGGUUGACUGAACUUUUCCAGUGGCUUCAGGGGCCCACAGGAGGUCUUAAGCAGCAAUUUCCAUCAUGACUUCUUCAUCCUGGAUCCCAGAAUUAAGAUGGCGUGGAAUUGAGCUCUAGCCCAGCUCUAAAAUGAUGUGUCUCUGGAUCAAGAGAAGCCACAUCUGGGUUUGACAUAGAGACUAUCAGAGAUCCUGGACUUGCGCCUGAUGCCAUGAUCAGGUCUCCUUUGAGUAGGGGAUGUACUUAUUUUGCAUGUGGAAGCCCAGGAACCUCCAUUAAACCUUAUCCGAUGCCCAAACUCAAGCUCCCAUACCCCGACAAGAAGAAAAAAGACAACCCAGUGUGAAAGUAAAUGCUUUAAUUAAAGUGUUGCUCAGAGGAACCAUGUCUCUCAACAGCCUCCACUCCACCCAACUCUCUCCGCUGGGCAAGGUGAGCAGGCUGCCUGGGGGGCAAAGG